AAAAAAAAAAAAAAAAGAAACCUUUGGGGAAACUUCAGUCAGACUCUUCCCUUCUCCCUACCACCCCAAGUCGGAACGAAUAGCGAAGUCGUCUAGCACCCUUAACCAGCACCAAGCACCCCUACUCCAGACAUCCGGCCGUCCCCAAGUCUUCGUCCGGCUUCUCUAUCCGCGAAAUCCAUAAAAAAAUUACAGGCUUGGUUGCUAGGCGGAAAACAUGGCGGAUGAGCGCGCGUUAAAUUUCUCUUGUUCUUUUAGGAUCGUUUGUAGCUCGAGCUAAGGCAGUUCCAGAUGCCUUAACAUAUGAGCUGAGUCUCGAUGCUGGAAACCUCUUCGCUAUCAACAGCACAACAGGAAUAAUUUCAGUGCAGGACCGCGUUGACCGAGAGGUACAAAGUGUUACUGAUGGAAAAUUUAUGGUAUAUGCCAUUGAUAAUGCUGGUAACCAGGCUUCAGCACAAGUCUUUUAUUGGAUUCUAGAUGUCAAUGAUCACUUACCUCAUUUUCCAAGUCAAUACUACAAUGUCACUGUUGGAGAGGUAAUUGUAAAGUCAUGCUUGUG